rnacentral:lncRNA from 1 species
CGGCUCGGGGGAAGCCAGACACCGGGGUCCGGGGUGGCGGGCGGCGGGCGCUGGACUGGGCGCCGCAGGGGGGGCGGGCCGGGGAGGAGGCGGGGGCGGGGGCGGGGCGGCGGGGGCGGGGCUUCGCUGCCACUCCACUCACCCCGCCCCCGCCCCACGUGCGGGGGACACUGCGCCCGGGCCGGCCAAUCCGCGACCGGGGUUCCCCAGGGCGGGGAGGGGCCGGCCGGGGCCGCAGCUCUCAUUGGCCGUCUGGGGCGUGAGGGGCGGGGCCUGUGAGGAGGCGCUGACACUCGCCGGGCAGCCGGCGCGGUGGCUCGAGGGGGGCGCCCCUGGAGGAGCGGGUGGGGGACACUGCAACCUCCACCUCCCGGUUUCAAGCAAUUCUUCUGUCUCAGCCUCCCAAGUAGCUGGGAUUGCAGACACGCGCCACCACGCCCAGCUAAUUUUUGUAUUUUCGGUAGAUACGGGGUUUCACCAUGUUGGCCAGGCUGGUCUUGAACUCCUGACCUCAGGUAAUCUGCCCACCUCGGCCUCCCAAAGUGCUGGGAAUACAGGCAUGAGCCAUCGUGCCUGGCUGUUUUUAUGUUUUUUAGAAUCAGAAGAAAAAAAAUAUGUAUUUUUUGUAUUGGUUGGUUUGUGUGUGUGUGUGUGUAUGUAUGUAUGUAUGUAUGUAUGUAUGUAUGUAUGUAUGCAUUUGAAACAGGGUCUUGCUCUGUUGGCUGAAGUGCAGUGGUGCAAUCAUAGCUCACUGCAGCCUCAAUCUCCUGGGUUCAAGCAAUCCUACCACCUCAGCCUCCCAUGUAGCUGGGACUACAGAUGCAUACCACCACGACUGGCUAAUUUUUUUUAUUUUUAGUAGAAAUGGGGGGGUCUCAUUAUGUUGCCCAGGCUGGUCUAGAACUCCUGGCCUCAAGUUAUCCUCCUGCCUUGGCCUCCCAAAGGGCUGGGACCACAGAUGUGAGCCCACCAUGCCUAGUCAAACAGGAGUAUAAUAGUAAUGAAUAUGUAAUAAUGAAUCUGACCUGACUGGUAUCAGUCAGUCUUUAUGCCAAAGCAGUUGUAAAAUACACAUUUGAAUAUCUUUUUUUUUUUCUUUUUUUUGGGGUGGAGUCUCGCUCUAUCACCCAGGCUGGAGUGCAGUAGCGCAAUCUCAGCUCACUGCAACCUCUGCCUCCCUGACUCAAGGCAUUCUCCUGCCUCAGCCUCCCGAGUAGCCAGAGCUUCAGGGACCUGCCACCACGCCUGGGUAAUUUCUAUAUUUUUAGUAGAGAUGGAGUUUCACCAGGUUGGCCAGGCUGGCCUCAAACACCUGACCUCAGGUGAGCUGCCCACUUCGGUCUCCCAGAGUGUUAGGAUUACAGGCGUGAGCCACCGUGCCUAGCCGUAUUUGAAUAUCUUAACCCAUAUAAGUCAAACAUGCCUAGGGCUCACAAAAGUUACAGUGCAUCCUGGCACAGGAGAGGAGGCAGCUCUUGAGUUUCAGUGCAUGCUUUUGAUAUUCACUAUAGGUCAAUGUCGUUGAAAGAAAAAGUGUUUGAGGCUGGGCACAGCGGCUCACGCCUAUAAUCCCAGCACUUUGGGAGGCUUGA